rnacentral:rRNA from 1 species
UACGUAGGGGGCAAGCGUUGUCCGGAUUUAUUGGGCGUAAAGAGCGUGUAGGCGGCCAAACAGGUCAGCUGUGAAAACUCGAGGCUCAACCUCGAGACGUCGGUUGAAACCGUUUGGCUAGAGUCCGGAAGAGGAGAGUGGAAUUCCCGGUGUAGCGGUGAAAUGCGCAGAUAUCGGGAAGAACACCCGUGGCGAAGGCGGCUCACUGGACGACUGUUGACGCUGAGGUGCGAAAGCGUGGGGAGCAAACAGG